AGCCUUAUCUCCCUUCAGUUCUCACCUGGUGUCCCACUGAAGAUAAGCAGGGUUGAGUCUGGUCAGUACCUGGAUGGGAGACCUCCUGGGGAAAACUAAGGUUGCU
rnacentral:rRNA from 1 species